CCUUUUCCGUCUGUGUUUUGUGUGCUAAAAAUACAAUGAUAUUUCUCACUUCAAUGAUAUUAGAAUUGUGUAAAUUUCGGGACAAUAAAUUUAAAUAUGUUUGUGAAAAGAGUUGAGAGCUGUCUAAAAUAAAAAAUAUCAUUAUAAAAUAUUAAGAAUUUAGAUUCGAGUGGACUGGACUUUAUGCAACCCGUUUUCAAUAAAACCAUGUUCUACAAAAUUACCAAAAGUAUAGUACCAAAGGCAAAUCUAUAAUACACUUUCACUGUAUGGGUAGUAAGCAUAAAAAAAUAUGUUAAUAUAGUUUAAUUUGAAUUAGCGUAAUUCCCAUUAAUUCAGCAGAUGAAACACGUGAAAUAUGGAGCUUGUUAAAGCCGUAUGUUGAGAUGUUGCAAUUGCAACACUUGGCAUUAAUUAAAGUUGUCCAAAGAGCAAAAGCAAAUGGAAGUGGAAUGAAAUAAACGAAAAGCCACGAGGACCGAGCAAACAACAUGCGGAGCAGUUGAGCGCCGUCAGUCAAGGGACAACUUUGGCAACUUUUGCUUCAAGUGACAAAUUAAAAACGGCAAAGGGAAAAAAAUCGAAACAAGCCCGAAAGCGCAAAGCAGAGAGCACAAAAAAACCUCUAAAGCAAAAGGCAAGCAAAGUCGCUCUUCAAUUGCUAAAAGUCGCACGAUUUGUUGCAAUGCGGCAUCAAGAGAACACAUCGAGUAGCUGAGUUGCAAGCUGGUCGUGGGUGGCUUGAGUGCCGCCUUUCCUCUCUUUCCCCUCUCUCCAUGAAGGAGGCAAACGUCAACGGUAUCGAUGAUAACACCUGGGCCAAGAACGUUGCUUCUAACUGCUGCGACAGCUUUUCAACUUCAAGUUGAUGUAGCGCCAAAGAGUUUUGAUGUGCCGCAUCGAGUGGCAGCAGUUGUUGGCAAAAGUUGCAGCUGCCACAUAGGCAAAAGUUGCCCAGCUGGACGGCGAGGGUAGAAAGCAGAAAAUAAAAUAUGAGAAUUGUGUUGCGUCGUCGUAGA